ACCACCGUUCUUAAUCAGCUAGUGCUGAUUUCUUCUGCUGCAUCAGCCUGUGAUGAGGUGGUAAUGUACUGAACAGUAGCUUGAAUUCCUAAAUGCUCUUUUGGGGUAAAUUUAGUUCACGGCAUCAGCAUGAGCACAACACCUUUGCUGUAAACUGAUGCAAUUUGACAUUGGUGCUGGUUGUCUGCCAUCAACUGAAAACGUGGGCAUUUGGCACCAGUGGGCUCCGUAGUCUCUGUUCCCAGGGAUAUUACAAGUGUAUGGCAUCAUACAUUAUACCAUGCACGAGCUUUAAAAAUUGGAAUCGCAGUUCUUGGUUUUUGGUUCUGGGAAUAUACCAGGACUGUUCUAGAAGAAGUUGCUUUCACUUGAUUCUGGUUGUAUUCUGAGGUUUGGUUCUAAUGCAACUGAUGUGUGGGGUACUGCGCCAUGUUCUAUGCUAUCUAUGUGAGUUCUGUUUGGCUGAAAUCCACCGAACCGUGUGGAGAAACAGCUUCUCAUGAACAGCUUCCCAUCCUCUACUGAGCAGUGCCUACAUGGUAGCAUUACAAACCACUGCACAUAUUUGUGGCUUGCGUGAGUUAGGCCUUGGUUGGUUCCAUAGGAGCUGAACAGAUUUAAAAGUAAAGGGACACUGCUUACAUGGUGUUUGAACUGCUUUCUAAGGUUGCAGUGCCAAUUGAACUCCCUUGCUUGGAAGUUCCAUUGAAAUGGAAAUUCAUUCCUGUAUGACCUUCGUUAUGUAUUCCUGCCAAGAUUAAUUGACCUGAUUGAUGAUCAUAAGAUCUGAGCACUUGACUCAUGUUUACUUUGGUGGAACAUUAUGUAUGCCUGUUUGUUCUGAACCAUUUAAUUUAUAUGCUUAGCUAGAAUUUGGCGGCCCGAUGAUAAGGCUACUGUUUUAAUAAUCUUGCUAAACAAUCUAGAAUAUGAUAAUAUUGUACAUGGAGGAUUAAACAUAGUAUUUCUCCUGUUGUCCUGUAUAAUUUUUGCAAAUGGCUCCCUUAAAAGGAGUAUGUCAUAUAUAUAGUCAUUAAAAGCUUAACAUGCUU